GAUGAGCUCCCACACUCAGCUACUCUGGCUCCUUGUGCUCUGCAUUCAGGAUUCCAGUGGGCAGCUUGUGCUGACUCAGACUCCAGAAUCCCUGGUGGUGUCUCCAGGAGACAGAGUCACCAUCAACUGCAAAGCCCAUUCCAGUGUUACCAAUAACUUCAUGGCCUGGUACCAACAGAAAUCAGGACAAGUUCCUAAGCUCCUUAUCUACAGCGCUUCCACCCGUCCCUCUGGGAUCCCAGACCGGUUCAGUGGCAGUGGGACAAGCACGGACUUCACUUUUACAAUCAGCCGGGUUGAAGUGGAUGAUGCUGGAGAUUAUUACUGCCAGCAACAUAGCAGCUCCCUUCUCACACAGUGAUACAGACUAACACAAAAACCUCCCUGCUCUGUUUAGUUUCAGACUCUCACUCACAGUAUUUCAGCUGCUUCCUGUGCAGUUUCCUGGUGUUGAUGCUUCUACUGCCCUGCAGUGGGACGCCUGGGUGUGUCAAACUUGCGUCCCCUCCCUCCUCCCUCCAGAAUUUCUAGUCCUUUCAGGCGCGCUCUCCCACCAUGUGGUUCAACACUCUUUACUCAGCAAUUGCUCCCCUGCCACUAACAUAGAUUUGCUCUUAUGGGCUGCAUCCAACUUCCUACUGACAGCAGGUUACAAUCCAAUACCUUUCUACUGAGCUGAGACAACGGAUGGAGAACUGUCCUCCAGCUUUAUAAAGCACCCACAGUGACAGCUGCAAUAGACUAAUCCAAACAAGUCAGACUAAAAGCUGCUGCCCACACCUGGGCUACUUCAGCA